GCAGCAACAAUAAUAAUAAUAAUAAUAAUAAUAAUAAUAAUAAGUCACUGUUUGUUAAGGUAGUUCUAGACAGUACAGCAACAAUAAUAAUAAUAAUAAUAAUAAUAAGUCACUGUUUGUUAAGGUAGUUCUAGACAGUACAGCAACAAUAAUAAUAAUAAUAAUAAUAAUAAGUCACUGUUUGUUAAGGUAGUUAUAGACAGUGCAGCAACAAUAAUAAUAAUAAUAAUAAUAAUAA